rnacentral:rRNA from 1 species
GAUGAACGCUAGCGGGAGGCCUAACACAUGCAAGCCGAGCGGUAGAGUUUCUUCGGAAACUUGAGAGCGGCGCACGGGUGCGUAACACGUGUGCAACCUACCUUUAUCUGGGGGAUAGCCUUUCGAAAGGAAGAUUAAUACCCCAUAAUAUAAUGAUUGGCAUCAAUUAUUAUUGAAAACUCCGGUGGAUAGAGAUGGGCACGCGCAAGAUUAGAUAGUUGGUGAGGUAACGGCUCACCAAGUCAAUGAUCUUUAGGGGUCCUGAGAGGGAGAUCCCCCACACUGGUACUGAGACACGGACCAGACUCCUACGGGAGGCAGCAGUGAGGAAUAUUGGACAAUGGGUGAGAGCCUGAUCCAGCCAUCCCGCGUGAAGGAUGACGGUCCUAUGGAUUGUAAACUUCUUUUGUACAGGGAUAAACCUACUCUCGUGAGGGUAGCUGAAGGUACCGUACGAAUAAGCACCGGCUAACUCCGUG